GCCGGGAUGGCGAAACUGGCAGACGCGCGAGACUUAAAAUCUUGUGUCCGAAAGGACAUCCGGGUUCGAUCCCCGGUCCCGGCA
rnacentral:tRNA from 1 species